ensembl:misc_RNA Metazoa_SRP Metazoan signal recognition particle RNA
GCCGGGUAUGGUGGCGCAUCCCUGUAAUCCCAGCUACUCAGGAGGCUGAGGCAGGAGAAUUGCUUGAACCCGGGAAAUGGAGGUUGCAGUGAGCUGAGACUGUGCCACUACACUCCAGCCUGGGUGACAGAGUGAGACUCUGUCUCGG